rnacentral:rRNA from 1 species
UGGGAAUAUUGGACAAUGGGCGCAAGCCUGAUCCAGCCACGCCGCGUGAGUGAUGAAGGCCUUCGGGUCGUAAAGCUCUUUCAGAGGGGAAGAAGGGCAACUUGACGGUACCCUCAGAAGAAGCACCGGCUAACUCCGUGCCAGCAGCCGCGGUAAUACGGAGGGUGCAAGCGUUGCUCGGAAUUAUUGGGCGUAAAGCGCGUGUAGGCGGCUAUUUAAGUCUGGUGUGAAAUCCCGAAGCUUAACUUCGGAACUGCGCUGGAUACUGGAUAGCUAGAGGACGAGAGGGGAUGGUGGAAUUCCUGGUGUAGGGGUGAAAUCCGUAGAUAUCAGGAGGAACAUCGGUGGCGAAGGCGACCAUCUGGCUCGUAACUGACGCUGAGACGCGAAAGCGUGGGGAGCAAAC